GCUUCGGGGCGAGGUGAAAUUCCUCACCGGCGGUAUAGUCCGCGAACUUGCUUUGCAAGCCGAACGGGUGAAAUUCCCGUACCGACGGUACAGUCCGGAUGGAAGAAG
rnacentral:ncRNA from 2 species